CGGAGGGUGCAAACGUUGCUCGGAAUCAUUGGGCGUAAAGCGCGCGUAGGCGGUCCAGCAAGUCGGGUGUGAAAGCCCUCGGCUUAACCGAGGAAGUGCAUUUGAAACUACUGGGCUUGAGUACUGAAGAGGAUCGCGGAAUUCCCGGUGUAGAGGUGAAAUUCGUAGAUAUCGGGAGGAACACCAGUGGCGAAGGCGGCGAUCUGGGCAGAUACUGACGCUGAUGUGCGAAAGCGUGGGGAGCAAACAGGAUUAGAUACCCUGGUGGUCCACGCCGUAAACGAUGAGCGCUAGUCGUCGCGGGUAUUGACCCCUGCGGCAACGAAGUUAACGCAUUAAGCGCUCCGCCUGGGGAGUACGGCCGCAAGGCUA
rnacentral:rRNA from 1 species